UUUAUUCUAUUGACACUUGUUUUUUAUUUGUGUGCAAUUUUAUAUUAGCUAGAGAGAGAUGCCAUGGAAAAAUAUGGAACCAUAAAUUUGACAUUAAAAGCACAAGAGAUUAUUUUAGCAUAAUUUUAACAUAUCAUAAGAGAGCUCCUGAUGUGAUUUUUUUUUUUUUUUUUGAGACAGGGUUUCUCUGUGUAGCCCUGGCUGUCCUGGAACUUACUCGGUAGACCAGGCUGGCCUCAUACUCAGAAAUCCACCUCCCUCUGCCUCCCAGUGCUGGAAUUAAAGGUGUGUGUCACCACUGCCCGGCUCCUGUUGUGUUUUUUUUUUUUUAAAUUUUUUUAUUAGAUAUUUUCUUCAAUUACAUUUCAUAUGUUAUUCUGAAAGUCCCCUAUACCCUUCCCCCUCCCUGCUCCCUUACCCACCCACUCCCACUUCUUGGCCCUGGUGUUCCCCUGUACUGGGGCAUAUAAAGUUUGCAAGGCCAAGGGGCCUCUUUUCCCAAUGAUGGCCAACUAGGCCAUCUUCUGCUACAUAUGCAGCUAGAGACAUGAGCUCUGGGGGGUACUGGUUAGUUCAUAUUGUUUUUCCACCUAAAGGAUUGCAGACCCCGUCAGCUCCUUAGGUACUUUCUCUAGCUCCUCCAUUGGGAGCCCUGUGUUCCAUCCUAUAGAUGACAAUGUGCAUCCACUACUGUAUUUGCCAGGCACUGGCAUAGCCUCACAAGAGACAGCUAUAUCAGGGUCCUUUCAGCAAAAUCUUGCUGGCAUAUGCAAUAGUGUCUGCGUUUGGUGGCUUAUUAUGGGAUGGAUCUGAGACGAAAGGAUGGACCAUCCUGUUAUGAAUUUAACCUGCCUACUUAUAUUAGAUUCUUAUCAGUUUACAAAUCAAUCCGAGGGAAACAAACCCCUGAGCAACAACAUGGAUUGAAAACAGCUCUAUGUGUUCAUAAACACACUGGCCAAAGUUUGAUAUAUGGGCUUUUAUUUAUCACUAAGAUAUCUGUGAUUUGCAAAUUGCAAUUUAAGUUGACCUGUAAUCGAUGUCUACACACUACACAAAGGUUUAAAUAGGGUACUGGUUUCACCCUGCAAAGCAGCUCUGUUCAUGUACCAUUUGUAAAAAGAUGGCUUAUUUGUAGGCACACUGACUAUAAAUGUUGCUUUAUGUCUAGCAGGCAACAUCAUUUCCUGCCAUAAUUGAAAGUAGUAUACUCCAGGAAAUGGCAACAAAAAGCUUUUUAAUGAUCACUGAACACGCUUUGCAGAAUGAUCGACCUACAGGAAAUUGAACAAUCAUAAUGGAUUUAAAUAUGUACAUUUAUUUAAUUUGAAAUGGUAGAGAUCAACAUGUAUUAUUCUGGUGACCUGUUGGUACAACUCAACAGAGUUGAGUCCUGUUCAUAUCAGAAACUACAUCAAGAACCGAAGUCUCUAUGAGAUUCUUGAAUCCUCUAAAAGUCAUUAUUUUUCUUUGAAGGGUAUAAAAGAAGACCUAGGUAAAUCGUUACAAUCUCCCUGAUGCACAGUCUUUGGGGCUGUGACAGUGCAAGGAGUGAAGUGGUUGUCCCAGAAGCAGGAGGACCGAAGCCAAUCUCUAGAACCGCUGUGAAAAGGUCACAGGCAUGGUGGCACACACUUGUCUUGGGGAGGCAUAGACAGGCUGGUCCUUGUUGCCCAUUUCCCAUCUGGCUUGGUCUACUGGGUGAGCUUCAGACCAAUGGGAGAGCCUGUCCUAGAAAAUAAAGGAUUACUACUGAAUAAUAACCCCUGAGGUUGUCCUCUGUCCUUGACACACAUGUGCACCUGCACACAUAGUCUUUAUAAGACAUGGAUCUAGAGAUGAUACAAUAAUCAAAUAAAUUAAAAUUUCCUAAUUCACAGGAGAAUUUUUCAUCUGACAAAGUAACUUUUGUUUCCCCCCUCUCUACCAUUGUACUGAGACCUCAGAUUAAUCCAAACCCUGAAGUUUGUAUAGGCAUAGAUUUUGUUCCAGAUUAAUUGUUUAGAGCUGGACUGGAGUGAGAUCCACUCUGUCUUUUACCUACUCCUGCCUUUGUUUGUUCUUGCCACAAUUCACUUGUGAAAAGUAUGUGUUCAGCUGACUCUCAUAUGAGUGACAUCUCUUUGUUUGGCUAAGGAACACUUACUCCGAAGAGAAUAUAAAAUGAUUAUUCAAUUAAUAUUUAAAUUGAGCAUGCUCACUGAAGGACACAUGUUUUUAAAUUGUGAAGCCCUAAAACCCUUAAGCUCUAUGUUUUACACUAAAGGGAAACUGUAAAGAAUGUAAUAGUUGUAGCUCAUCCUCUCUGUGUUCAACUUAAUGUUUGGCUGGUAAUUAAACACCUUUAGAGACUGCCUAGAAUUCUUGGGGUCCCUAAAUUACCCUAUAAACAUGUUAAAACUGCUCAUAAUUUUUAAUGUACUUACUAAUUAACAAAGAUAUAAAUAUGCCAAGGUUUAAAAAAUCUAAAUAUGUGGUAUUUAUAAGAUAUAAAAUGAUAAUAAGAAUUACAGAAGCGUGUGUUGCUUUAGAAAAGGACUUACCCUCUGACAACACAGGUUUCUUUUAUAUUGUUUACCAUUAUUAAUCUACAGAUGUUUUUUUCUACAGAGCCCCACUUUGUUGAUAACAUUGAAGACUUCAUGUUGGGAGUAAUUUUCUUCGAAAACAGUUCACAGUGAAAGCUAAGCAUCUCUAGAUUUAGUGUAAAAUCCAGUGUAACAGGAACUUAGGAAGCGAUUAAGAGGCACUCAGUUGGCUCAAGUUUUAGAAAAGUCGAUUAUGCAAAGCAUUCUCUAGAAUUAUUUAUGCAAUGGGAAAUAAUGGCCUUUUGUCUGGGUUUUAGCUGUAGAUAUUGAACCCCUUAGGCAUGCUCGCUCUCUAUUCUUGUAAUGAAAUCCCAUUGUUUGUUAGAAAGGAAAGGGGAGAUCAAAUACCUAAUCAUUUAAAAGACGCAAUUUGUUUAAUUACCGGUGAAAAAUAAUAAUUGAGAUAUAAUCUGCCUUCUAGUUGCACAUAAGGUCGGUCUGGAUGUGAUUCUGUUUAAUUUCACAGAUUGGGUAGCUCUUGCCUUGUAUUAAAUCUUUGUAUGCACUCAUGUCAUGACAUUCGUGUGGACCAGAAGUCAACCUUAGUGUUGGCUUUUGCUUUACGCCUUGUCUGACUCAUGGUCUCUUUUUGUAGUCCUGGCCGGUGAGCUUGCUGGGAUUCUCCCCACUAUGUCUGUCUUUAUGUAGGUUCUGGAAAUCCUAACUCAGUUCCUUUCAAGGGCACAAGGGUUCUACUCACUGAACCAUCCUCUCAGCUCCCGACUGGCUCAUUCUUUUAUACCAUUAACACUUCAUAGUAAUUUUUUUUCUGUGCACCAGGGACUAUGAUCUAUGCUGGAGACUUGAACAAGACACAGUCAUUAAAGGUAAAGAUCUUAGAGUGCUGUGAGUUCAGAUAAACAGAUUCACCCACAAAAGGUGUCAUGUUGCCACAGGCUCUGUUAAGUGCCGGCCUGGAGAAUCCUGAGGAUACAGAAGUGGACAAUAUCAGGGUUCUGUAAAUAGUGAAUGUUCUGUUGCCAACAGUCACCCAUACCAAAUCAAGUGUCACCCCUAUGUCAUUGCACCUCUGCCUGGACUGAGGAUCGAAGUUGAGAAAAGUCUCUUCUGAGCCUCAGGAAUAUAACAUUAGCUUGAAUAAGUUAUGAUUAUGUCCAAGACC
rnacentral:lncRNA from 1 species